AUUGAACGCUGGCGGCAGGCCUAACACAUGCAAGUCGAGCGAGAGGCGGACGGGUGAGUAAUGUAUUGGGAUCUGCCUGAAGGCGGGGGAUAACUACUGGAAACGGUGGAUAAUACCGCAUACCAUCCACUGAAACCACAUGGGAUUCGCUAGUAGUUGAGUUAAAGGCAUACCCAGGCGACGAGCCCUAGCUGGUCUGAGAGGAUGAUCAGCCACACUGGUACUGAGACACGUCCCAGACUCCUACGGGAGGAAGCAGGGGGUAAUAUUGCACAAUGGGCGCAAGCCUGAUGCAGCCAUGCCGCGUGUAUGAAGAAGGCCUUCGGGUUGUAAAGUACUUUCAGUCGGGAGGCGUUACCGACAGAAGAAGCACCGGCUAACUCCGUGCCAGCCGCCGCGGUAAUUC
rnacentral:rRNA from 1 species